AGAUAUAAAGAGAAAAAUAUUUAACUAUGUGAGAAAUCAACAAAGCUUUCACAAUUCUGUUAAAAUAGAACUGAAAACUGUCCAUUGAAGCCCACGAAGUUUCUUUAACAGGCCCCAAAAAAAAAAUGGAAACGAUCGACUUUGAAUGUUAGGUUAGUUUCUUUUGAAAGUCUAGGCAUCCUCAACGACCAAACCAGACUUUCUUCUACUUACCAGUCCAACGAUCGAUACUAUCCAUGCAUGCUCAUUAAAAGCUUCCAGCUGGAAUCAUGGAUCCUUAUUCCUUAGCCGAUAAGCUUUCUUUCUCCUCCCAAGGAGGAGAUAAACCAAAAAAAAAAAACUAAAAAACAUUAUAUACAUUUACUGCAUGUCUCUGUCUUGAAAGUAAUCUAUAUAAAGAGGACUACAGGUUUAGCUCAUUUUAAGCGCAUUGCAAGCAGCUCGGUACUGAAAGAAGUUGGCACCUUAGAACAAACUCAGGAGAGAGAGAGGGAGCGAGAGAGAUGCCUCCACCUUGGGGACCGCCGCCAGGAGGGCCAGGAGGCCCGGGCUGUGGUUGCUUUGAUUUUCUCUGCGGUGGUAUAUGCCGCCUUGUAUCAUCCUGCUUUUAUCUGCUGUGCUGCUGCUGCAUCUUUGAGAGCUGCUGUGGACCCGUAUUUGGUGGCCCACCUGGCCCUGGUGGACCCCCAAGGUUCUGAUGAUCAGCUAAUUCCCAUACCCUUGUUGUAAUAUCACGAGGAGAGAAUAAAAAAUUGAGCUGAGCUGAUCUUACGUGGUUGUUCUAGUUUUUUUUUUUUUUUUUUAAUCAAUGUAUUCAUCUCUGGUUGGUGGUUGGGAAUGUGAUAAUAACAGUGCCAAUACCAGUUAGUUUUGG